rnacentral:lncRNA from 1 species
AUUAACUUCUUUAAUGUUUCCAAUACAGACGUUCAUUGAAAUAGUCUGAUGAAAAUAUAAAGGCGCCCACCCUCUCCCCACAUCCACACACAGAUUGUAAUACCAGAUCACCAGGGAUGGGCUGGAUAACCAAGAUGUGCAGGACUCUGAGCAGAGCAUAAUAUAUUACAGGCCAUCCAGAAAUGGUUGAGAAGUGGCCCUGGAGAUCUACGUGGACCCUUUCUGUCUCUUAAAGAUUUCUCCUCAUGUUUCCCUCCAGCAGAAACUGAUAUAAUCAUACAGCAAUCAGUUCUGCUAGUCCCCAUGGAGCCCUUUCCCUUAAAUAGCCUGUAAUAUCUGUAAAGUUACUGGUCAAAAAGCUACACCUGCUUCCUGACAAACAGUUGUUAUAUUAGACAAAAAGUGUAAGUUAAAUAAGCUCAUUUUGAAUUAGGGCUUCUGUUUCAUCUCAUGGUUUAGUAUAUUUUGCCUAAAUGUGAAUGACCUCAAACAGUCUGUGGACACUGCUGCAUUUCUGUAGUCACCAACAGGUGAUUCUGUACGUGAGUCUAUAGAAUGCUAUUCCUGACACAUUAGAAAAGCCUCUGAAACAACAUAAAAAGCAACAAAUCUUUAACAAUAAUCAAGCAGAUAUAUGUCAUCAUGGUUGGCAAUUACACUUCAUACAAAAACUUAAGGUGGGUUUUGUUUCUAUCUGCCUGGAGAUAUUUAUUUGUGAAUACCUGAUGAAUGAAAACAAUAUUAUGUGCUGUCAUGCCAUGGGAUGCUAGUAGUAAGUGAAGACUUCAAUAAAGAUUUACAUUGGUUAACAUAUAUAUAUUUGGAUUAAUUCAACAACCACUCUUUGCCCUGAUUCCUUCCCUGUUGUCAUUAAAAUCUAUUAAUGGCCUACUGAAGCAUACUGAGGGAAAGCUAUGUUUGUGGGAACGAUAACUACCAAAUAAUGCUCUGUUGGGUUUGAGAUCAGGUGUGUUAGCAAUAUUUUUGUCAUGGUCAGGGUGAGUGGCUGUGUUUCUCUGACAGCGUUAGGUCUCCUCCCCUGGGUGGAGCCUCCACACCUGUUGAUAAUUCAUCUGGCAGUAUUUAAGACUCAACGAGUCAAUUAUAUCUCGGACCAUUACUCAUCUGUGCAGUGUGUCACCUACCUGUUCUCAGCUGGUCAUUCGCCAUACUGGUUACCUGCUCCACCUGCCGUCCCCUCUGUACUCCGAACCUCCUGGAACUCUGGAUCCUAG